GACGAACGCUGGCGGCGUGCUUAACACAUGCAAGUCGAACGGAAAGGCCCUGCUUUUGUGGGGUGCUCGAGUGGCGAACGGGUGAGUAACACGUGAGUAACCUGCCCUUGACUUUGGGAUAACUUCAGGAAACUGGGGCUAAUACCGGAUAGGAGCUCCUGCUGCAUGGUGGGGGUUGGUAAGUCUCGGCGGUUGGGGAUGGACUCGCGGCUUAUCAGCUUGUUGGUGGGGUAGUGGCUUACCAAGGCUUUGACGGGUAGCCGGCCUGAGAGGGUGACCGGCCACAUUGGGACUGAGAUACGGCCCAGACUCCUACGGGAGGCAUCAGUGGGGAAUAUUGCACAAUGGGCGGAAGCCUGAUGCAGCAACGCCGCGUGCGGGAUGACGGCCUUCGGGUUGUAAACCGCUUUCGCCUGUGACGAAGCGUGAGUGACGGUAAUGGGUAAAGAAGCACCGGCUAACUACGUG
rnacentral:rRNA from 1 species